GUACAUAAGAAAUGAGCUAGAAGGUUUGAGCGAAGCCAGGCGCAACGCGCUCAUGGCUUUCAUAAUUCAGAAUUGUUACCUCGUUUCGGUGGCUGUUCCGACCGCGGACUCGGCAAGAAGAAUCUUCACCGUUCUAAAUUCACGUGGCCUCGACCUUACCGCCACGGACAUCCUCAAGGCUGAUCUCCUAGAUAGGGCCGGCGAGGCUCGCGAGGCUGAAUUGGCGGAACGCUGGGAAGCGGUGGAAAUGACGGGCGGACGAGAAAAAACAGUGGAGCUCUUCGG
rnacentral:misc_RNA from 1 species